UACGGAGGGUGCAAGCGUUAUCCGGAUUCACUGGGUUUAAAGGGAGCGUAGGCGGGCAUGUAAGUCAGUGGUGAAAGCCCUCAGCUUAACUGAGGAACUGCCAUUGAUACUAUAUGUCUUGAAUGUCGUUGAGGUUUGCGGAAUAGGUCAUGUAGCGGUGAAAUGCUUAGAUAUGACCUAGAACACCUAUUGCGAAGGCAGCAGGCUAAACGAAUAUUGACGCUGAGGCUCGAAAGCGUGGGGAUCAAACAGG
rnacentral:rRNA from 1 species